rnacentral:miRNA from 1 species
UGUUUUCAAUUCAUAGUAACGC